CACCAGGUUGAUUCUGCCUGACGUAGACGCUAUUCCCUAAGAUUAACCCAUGCAUGUUUUUGACAUUUGAAAAAUGGACUGCUCAGUAAUACUCACUUUAUUUUAUGUAAAUUUUUAUUAACUACGUUAAAGUGUAGAUAAGAUGUUUACAGUAAGAGUGAGACC
rnacentral:rRNA from 1 species